CCAUCCACCACGUUGUGCGCCAGUGGAAGUACAAGGACGACAGUGAUGACCAGCUCUUCUAUACGCAGCUCUACCUGGACCCGGGCCUGAGGGAAAAACUCGUUCUUAACCUGGACCACAAAUCGCGGAUCUUCCAGAACCUCAAUGGAGCGUGAGCCUCCUCCCCGGAUGCUUCUAGCCGUGUUUGUGGAACAGCCUACCCCGUUCCUGGCCCGCUUCCUGCAGCGGCUGCUACUCCUGGACUAUCCCCCGGACCGGUUCACCUUGUUCCUGCAC